rnacentral:rRNA from 1 species
GUGCCAGCAGCCGCGGUAAUACAUAGGGGUCAAUCGUUGUCCGGAUUUAUUGGGCGUAAAGAGCUCGUAGGCGGUUCAACAAGUCGGUCGUAAAAGUUUAGGGCUCAACCCUAAAAUGUCGAUCGAUACUGUUGUGACUAGGAUACGGUAGAGGUGAAUGGAAUUCCGAGUGUAGCGGUGAAAUGCGUAGAUAUUCGGAGGGACACCAAUUGCGAAGGCAGUUCACUGGACCGUGAUCGACGCUGAGGUAAGUAAGUGUGGGGAGCAAACAGGAGUAGAUA